rnacentral:tRNA from 1 species
GCCUGGGUGGCUUAGUCGGUUUAGCGUCCGACUUUUGGCUCAGGUCAUGAUCUAAUGGUUCGUGGGUUCAAGCCCCGCAUCAGGCU